AAAGAAGAAGAAAGAAAACC
rnacentral:sRNA from 1 species